CAGAGCCCCCCGGACCGAUGGUCAGGACUCAGGCAGUGUGAGUGACACUGAAAAUCAGCUCACGUGCUGCCUUCGGCACACGUGCCAUAGGUUGCUUACCCCUGGCCUAUAGCCUGGUAGUGAGGACACCCACCUGGAAUGCGGGUGAGGGAAGGGGAGACCUGGAUUCUAAUCUCUGCUCCAGGCCAGAGCAGAGAUUUGAACCUGAGUCUUCCUUCUUCCAGAUGGGUGCCCUAACCACUGGGCUAAAGGCUAUCCAAGGAACUUCACCUACACAGUUAUGUGUUUUGUGAAGGAUACCAAGGUCCCCUUGUGAAUUUAGUUUUUUUUAAAAAUGGCAAAAACUAUUGAGCAAAUUCAUGAAUAGUUUCAGGCUGACUGAAACUGCAUUUUUCAUGGAAUAAACUAUUUUAAAAAUUUUGCUGAGCCCCAUGUGGGAUGCUUUCCAAAAAAAAUCCUUCAAAGACUGAACUCUGGCCUGUAUUUCAGCAAAGAGUUACACUAAGGUGCAGGAAAGGGGAGUGCACCAGUAGCAGUUAUAUGUUAAUUUAGCCCAUCCCAUUAUACAAAUUGAUUCCUGCAAAUGUUGGAUUUCAGCAUAGAAAAAUGUUUCUACAAACAGUUUCAACUCUGUCCUCACAACUAUAUACUAUUCUCCCCAGAUAAAACCAAUAUAUCCUUGAUCUCUUUUGCGUCUCACCUGAUCCUAUCUAUGAGAUGCUCCUCCUUUAAAAAAUAAAAAGGAAAAGAAAGGAAAUUCCCAGGUGAAAAACUUAUCUUCAUUAACUUCUCAAAGAAUAAUGAUCAGUUAAAGUAAGGUGGAUAGAGAUCUGAAUAUCUUACAAUUCAUGUAGAUUGUUAUGGAUUCCCAUACCUGCUGCAGUCUCAGACUGUAUUAACUUUUCUACAGAUUCUGCAUGAGGUUGGUGGAGGAACAAUGUAUAUCUUACAUUGCCUCUCUGCCUUCCGAAUCCUGCAGAGAACUUCCAUGUACCAGAGAUUAAGAAUAUGUGCCAUGGAGCAGGGCUGACCCCUUACUUUUGCACAGGAACAGAGAGAUCUUGUGCACAGAAAAGACCUUCCAUAUGGCAAUUUGUGGGGGACGGAGAAGAAUAGCAACAAUCUGGCUCUAGAAUUUUAAGACAAAGCUGUUCUUAAUUAUCAUUGUAACCAUUAUGAUUUAUCUGCAUUUGCAAAGCAUCACACAUCAUAAAAGGAGCUGGGUACAAUUUUUUAAAACAGUAGCACACUGCCAGAAAAUGACAAAAAAAAGGACAAUCUUCAUAUAUCCUGGACCACCACCAUAAUUUAAAGGAACUCAGAAACGCUAUUUCCCCAUGAAUACAUACUUGGUCCUAAUGAUAUUUCUGUAAACGUUUUAAGUAAAACAUGUUUUCCAUUCCAAAUGUGUUCUGUAAUUUGAUGCCUUCAAAGAAAGGAUGUAUGAGUCAUCUUCAUGAAACAUGCAAUUGAGGCGAGUCACUGUGUAGCCAACUAAAAUAUCUAAGUAAUAUUAACAGUGUUAUGUUACUUAUGUAGUUGCCCAAGGUUUUAAGAACCAAAUCUGUUCUUUUUACUACAAUAAGAAUUACUGUUGUGUUUUUUUUAUGUGGAAAGUGAGGCUAACAUAACUACAGAAUUAAGAUCAAAAUUUAGUUUGAAAGACAAGUUACUGCAGAGGUAUUCUCAUUAGAAAACCGAUGAGGCAUUAGGCAUUGACCUGUGACCCACCAUAUCCAAUAUUACUUUUGUUUCUUGUUCAGUACUUGAUGCUUUAAUAUCUGUUUCCUGGCUUAAUUCGAGCAUGGGCUGUCAGAUUGGAUGGAGAAUUCAGUGUGUUUUUGGGUGGUUAGGAUUAGUAAAAUUUCAGAUUUUGCCUGGAAUGCUCCAUUAUUUCUAACUAUUCCCCUUUUUCUGUUAUGAGAGUGAAAUUUACUUCUUCCUGUACCAGACAGAAUAAAUUGGGUGAUGUGCUGAAGGUUGGAGAGGAUGAAAUUCACACUUCAAAACCUAUGGGCAAGGUAUAUUAUCAUAGCCCCUCGGAGCCUUAGUCAUAGACCCGGAUCCCAUUGUGCUGGGCACUGUACAAACACAGAAUGAAAAGAUGGUCCCUGCCCCAAAGUGCGUACGAUCAAGCUGAAUCUCAUGCUGCAUCUAUGACUGCCAAGCACUGGACACCAUUGUGAGGCACUGGACCAGCGGCUGACUGCUUCCUGACUAACUGACUGCUCCAGUUUACCCUCCAGUUCUAGCAUUUGACUUGUUUCCUGGACUCUGCCUACCCUGGAGUCAGCUGUAACUGGUAGGCCAAAUCUCCUUUCCACCACUAAGCCUGACUGUCCAUUGCCCAAUUGGUUACAAACACAGAUAAUUCAAGAAAAAAUGGUUACUAACCUUUCCCUAACUGUUGUUCUUCAAGAUGUGUUGCACAUGUCCAUUCUAUUGUAGAUGUGUGCAUGUCCCGAGCAAAGUGGCCAGAAAUUUCUCCCUCAGUGGUACCCGUCAGGGCGGCUCGGGCGCCCUCUGGUGCCAUGCGCUCAUAGCGCUGGUAUGAAGGACUCAGCUGGCGACACCCACCCCAGUUGCUUCUUUACAGCCAAUUCUGAUGUUGAGGCGUAGCAGGGCGGCUCGUGGAAUGGAUAUUUGCAACACAUCUCAAAGAACAACUGUUAUGGAGAGGUGUAAUAAGUACUCAAGAAUGACCUGCAGCAACAACCGCUUGGGCGAGACUCCACAUUGAGAAGCCUCUCAGAUGGAGCACCGCUUCCAUUCUGAGAGGUCUUGACAGGCCAGUGGGGUGGAGUGCCUGGAGGACUGCUGAGAUCUGUAGUGCUUCCUUAAAGUCGCUGAAGUAUACAGUCCCAGGGACUUAAAGGUCGCCCAGGAGUCCUUCAGUCCACGAAGUUUCAUGUCAGUCUGCUCCAAAAAGAGCAAAGCUCCCUCACACAAGGAAGAUCCUGGAGAGUUUGCUGGACCUCCUGCAGGAGGCCAGAGGACUGUAGCCAUGAACUCCUACACGUGGCUGCUGCGGAAACCAUGGACCUCGCCGCCGAAUCCGCUGCAUUCAGGGCAGCUUGCAAGGAAAGCUCUGGCUAUGAAUUUCCCCUCAUCCACCAGCAAGGAAAACUCCAGCCUGGCUUCUUGAGGCAGCAAGUUUUUGAACUUCAACAUGGAGUCCCAUAUGUUGAAGUCAUAUUUGCUCAGCAACACCUGCUGGUUAGCGAUCCUGAGCUGCAAACCCCUGGUAGAGUAGACCUUUCUACCAAAUAAAUCCAAGUUUUUGAUUCCUUU